UACGGAGGGGGCAAGCGUUGUUCGGAAUCACUGGGCGUAAAGGGCGCGUAGGCGGCUUUAUAAGUCGGGGGUGAAAGCCUGUGGCUCAACCACAGAAUUGCCUUCGAUACUGUAGAGCUUGAGACCGGAAGAGGUAAGUGGAACUGCGAGUGUAGAGGUGAAAUUCGUAGAUAUUCGCAAGAACACCAGUGGCGAAGGCGGCUUACUGGUCCGGUUCUGACGCUGAGGCGCGAAAGCGUGGGGAGCAAACAGG
rnacentral:rRNA from 1 species